UAUCAAUCCAUGUGUAAUGUAACCUGCAAAAAAUAAUACUAAAUAAAUAAAAUUUCACAUUUUCUUUUAUUUUCUCGGCAACCAAACAGAGCUCAAACUGCAGAAACCAGUCAAGCUCAUUUCCGAAGAAGAGAGUCUCGCUUCCCCGUGCUGGAGACAGCAACUGAUUCUGAGAACCAAGCUUCAUUAUUUGGCCUUCAAGUCACUUCCAAGCAAUAACUGCAAAUACUCAAAGCUAUUCCUCUUGAGCCAGGAAUCGAGACUGAAAUUGCGAUUCCUGGAAAUCCACAGCACUUUGGCCUUAUCAGAGAAACGAUGAAUCAGGUUCGAAGAGAAUGUAAGUCCAUCGACUCCAGUCGAACCAUCAAACAGAAAGCAAAAACAAACCACCGUCAACACCAAAGCAAGCACACGAUUUGCCACCAUCGCGUGCACGAGAGAGAGAGAGAGAGAG
rnacentral:misc_RNA from 1 species